rnacentral:rRNA from 1 species
CCUACGGGGGGCAGCAGUGGGGAAUAUUGGACAAUGGGCGAAAGCCUGAUCCAGCCAUGCCGCGUGUGUGAAGAAGGCCUUCGGGUUGUAAAGCACUUUCAGUGGGGAAGAAAGCCUUGGGGCUAAUACCCUCGAGGAAGGACAUCACCCACAGAAGAAGCACCGGCUAACUCCGUGCCAGCAGCCGCGGGAAUACGGAGGGUGCGAGCGUUAAUCGGAAUUACUGGGCGUAAAGCGCGCGUAGGCGGUCUGAUAAGCCGGUUGUGAAAGCCCCGGGCUCAACCUGGGAACGGCAUCCGGAACUGUCAGGCUAGAGUGCAGGAGAGGAAGGUAGAAUUCCCGGUGUAGCAGUGAAAUGCGUAGAGAUCGGGAGGAAUACCAGUGGCGAAGGCGGCCUUCUGGACUGACACUGACGCUGAGGUGCGAAAGCGUGGGUAGCAAACAGGAUUAGAUACCCCAGUAGUC